UACGUAGGGGGGCAAGCGUUGUCCGGAAUCAUUGGGCGUAAAGAGCGUGUAGGCGGCCCGAUAAGUCCGCCGUGAAAGUCCAGGGCUCAACCCUGGAAUGCCGGUGGAAACUGUCGGGCUGGAGUCCGGAAGAGGCGAGUGGAAUUCCUGGUGUAGCGGUGAAAUGCGCAGAUAUCAGGAGGAACACCAAUGGCGAAGGCAGCUCGCUGGGACGGUACUGACGCUGAGGUGCGAAAGCGUGGGGAGCAAACAGG
rnacentral:rRNA from 1 species